AGUGGAGAACACAUCAGAAAUCUUCGGACUACCGGACUACUUUGUACUACUUUAAUUCAACUUCUUUUGGACAAAUCCACGAUUGGAAGAUCCGUGGCUAUUCAAUCGAUCCGGUGCUAUUGCAAAAAAGUUUGCAAGGACAGUCCUGCUAUUCCUCAACAAGGUACAUGCUGAGUCUGGAUCGGAACCUUGUCAACACAAACAUCUCCUCCUUCAUUUCUGCAUUGUGCCUCAUGUUCGGGAGCUACUACAUUUUCAACAUCCAUUAUCCAUCUGAGCUGGCUUCAACUCUGGAGUUCCUUCAAAGGUGUUUCUUCUCGAUAAACCCAGAAAAAGGAACCAAAGUAGAGAGUAAGAACAACAAGCGUCGUCUCAACCUGAACCCUCGAGUCCUCACCCUGAUACAGGAUCUCUCCGAUCACGAGUGGCGUCAAGCCUAAAUAUGAACUCUAUGUGGACUCUGACUGUUUGUUUGA